UGGGGAAUAUUGCGCAAUGGGGGAAACCCUGACGCAGCGACGCCGCGUGUGGGAUGAAGGUCUUCGGAUUGUAAACCACUGUCGCGAGGGACGAAGCUCUGACGGUACCUCGAAAGGAAGCACCGGCUAACUCUGUGCCAGCAGCCGCGGUAAUACAGAGGGUGCGAGCGUUGUCCGGAAUCACUGGGCGUAAAGGGCGCGUAGGCGGCCCGGUAAGUAGGGGGUGAAAUCUCAUGGCUCAACUGUGAGGCUGCCUUCUAGACUGCCAGGCUUGAGCACAGUAGAGGCGAGUGGAAUUCCCGGUGUAGCGGUGGAAUGCGUAGAUAUCAGGAGGAACACCAGCGGCGAAGGCGGCGCUCUGGGCCGGUACUGACGCUGAGGAGCGAAAGCGUGGGGAGCGAACAGGAUUAGAUACCCCAGUAGUCCCUGAGCGGGCUGGCAAGGCGCAU
rnacentral:rRNA from 1 species